rnacentral:lncRNA from 1 species
CGUAAUGUGUCUCUGUCCUCUUUUGAAAUGUUGAGUUGGUAUGUCCAUGUCCUGCCAUGUUCAUAUCCUUAUUUUAUAGCUUCCAGUAGAGGUAACUAUGGAUCGAAUAGUUAGAGAGAAGCUUUUCAAUAGCCACCCUGAAAUUUAUUAUGAACGAUGCUCCAUUCCUUCUUUUGGUGGUCGACUGGGAUGUGGUGAAGAAUUUUGCUGAUGGGAGGUUCGAAGGUUAGCAACCUCAUUGGAUUCAAUCGGCCUAUUUUGGGCAAAAAUGUUGCUGAGUUAGCUAAAGAGUAAGGGGUUUAUAGGAG